GACCCAUAGAGACCCAUAGAGACCCAUAGAGACCCCACAGGGAUCCAUAGAGACCCCAUAGAGACCCAUAGGGAUCCAUAGAGACCCAUAGAGACCCCAUAGAGACCCAUAGGGAUCCAUAGAGACCCAUAGAGACCCAUAGGGAUCCAUAGAGACCCAUAGAGAUCCCAUAGAGACUCAUAGGGACCCCAUAGAAACCCAUAGAGACCCAUAGGGACACCAUAGAAACCCAUAGAGACCCAUAGGGAUCCAUAGAGACCCCACAGAGACUCAUAGAGACCCCAUAGAAACCCAUAGAGACAUAGGGACCCAUAGAGACACAUAGAGACACAUAGGGACCCAUAGAGACCCAUAGAGACUCCACAGAGACACAUAGAGACCCAUAGAAACCCAUAGAGACCCAUAGAGACCCAUAGAGAGCCCAUAGAAACCCAUAGAGACCCAUUGAGAUCCCAUAGGGAUCCAUAGAGACCCCAUAGAGACACAUAGAGACCCCAUAGAGACCCACAGAGACACACAGAGACCCCAUAGAGACCCCAUAGAGAUCCAUAGAGACCCCAUAGAGACACAUAGAGACCCAUAGGGACACAUAGAGACCCAUAGAGCCCCCAUAGAGACCCAUAGGGACCCAUAGGGACACAUAGAGACCCAAUAGAGACCCAUAGAGACCCAUAGAGCCCCCAUAGAGACCCAUAGGGACCCAUAGAGACCCAUGGAGACCCUAUAGAGACCCAAUAGAAACCCAUAGAGACCCAUAGGGACCCCAUAGAAACCCAUAGAGACCCAUAGAGAUCCCAUAGGGAUCCAUAGAGACCCCAUAGAGACACAUAGAGACCCCAUAGAGACCCACAGAGACACACAGAGACCCCAUAGAGACCCCAUAGAGAUCCAUAGAGACCCCAUAGGGACCCAUAGAGACCCAUAGAGACUCCACAGAGAUCCAUAGAGACCCAUAGAAACCUCUAGAGACCCAUAGAGACCCCACAGAAACCCAUAGAGACCCAUAGGGACACCAUAGAAACCCAUAAAGACCCAUAGGGACCCAUAGAGACCCAUAGGGAUCCAUACAGACCCCAUAGAGACUCAUAGGGACCCAUAGAGACCCCACAGAGAUCCAUAGAGACCCCAUAGAGACACAUAGAGACACAGAGAAACCCAUAGGGACACACAGAGACCCCAUAGGGACCCAUAGGAACCCAUAGAGACCCCACAGAGACCCAUAGAGACCCCAUAGAGAUCCAUAGAGACCCCAUAGAGACCCCAUAGGGAUCCAUAGGGAUCCAUAGAGACCCAUAGGGAUCCAUAGAGACCCAUAGAGAUCCCAUAGAAACCCAUAGAGACCCAUAGGGACACCAUAGAAACCCAUAGAGACCCAUAGGGACCCAUAGAGACCCACAGAGAUCUAUAUGGACCCAUACAGACCCCAUAGAGACCCACAGAGACACCAUAGAGACCUAUAGGGAUCCAUAGAGACCCAUAGUGACCCCAUAGAGACCCAAUGGAAACCCAUAGAGACCCAUAUGGACCCAUAGAGACCCAUAGAGACCCCAUAGAGACCCAUAGAGACCCAUAGAGACCCCAUAGGGACCCAUAGAGACCCAUAGAGAUCCAUAUGGACCCAUAGAGACCUCAUAGAGACCCAUAGGGACCCAUAAGGACACAUAGAGACCCCAUAGACACCAAUAGAGACCCCAUAGGGAUCCACAGAGACCCAUAGGAACCCCAUAGAGACCCAUAGGGACCCAUAGAGGCCCCAUAGAGACCCAUAGAGACCCAUAGGGACCCAUAGAUACCCAUAGAGACCCAUAGAGACCCCAUAGAGCCCCAUAGGGACCCAUAGAGACCCCAUAGAAACCCAUAGAGACCCAUAGGGACCCAUAGAAACCCAUAGAGAUCCAUAUGGACCCAUAGAGACCCCAUAGAGACCCACAGAGACACCAUAGAGACCCAUAGGGAUCCACAGAGACACCAUAGAGACCCCAUAGAGACUCAUAGAGACCCCAUAGAAACCCACGGAGACCCAUAGGGACCCAUAGAGACCCACAGAGACCCACAGAGACCCAUAGAGACCCAUAGGGACCCAUAGAGACCCACAGGGACCCAUAAGAACACAUAGAAACCCCAUAGAGACUCAUAGGGACCCAUAGAGACCCCAUAGAGACCCAGAGGGACCCAUAGAGACACAUAGGGACACAUAGAGACACCAUAGAGACCCAUAGAGACCCCAUAGGGAUCCACAGAGACCCCAUAGAAAUCUAUAUGGACGCAUAGAGACCCCAUAGAGACCCAUGGAGACACAUAGAGAUCCAUAGGGACCUCAUAGAGACCCCAUAGAGAUCCAUAGGGACCCAUAGAGACCCAUAGAGACCCAUAGAGACCCCAUAGAGACUCAUAGGGACCCAUAGAGACCCCAUAGAGACCCCAUAGAGCCCCAUAGGGACCCAUAGAGACCCAUAGAGACCCAUAGAGACCCCAUAGAGACUCAUAGGGACCCAUAGAGACCCCACAGAGACUCAUAGAGACCCCAUAGAAACCCAUAGAGACACAUAGAGAC
ensembl:lncRNA